UACGUAGGGGGCAAGCGUUGUCCGGAAUCAUUGGGCGUAAAGAGCGUGUAGGCGGCCAGAUAAGUCCGCUGUGAAAUCUCGAGGCUCAACUUCGAGCUGUCGGUGGAAACUGUCUGGCUAGAGUCCGGAAGAGGAGAAUGGAAUUCCUGGUGUAGCGGUGAAAUGCGCAGAUAUCAGGAGGAACACCAGUGGCGAAGGCGGCUUACUGGUCCGGUUCUGACGCUGAGGCGCGAAAGCGUGGGGAGCAAACAGG
rnacentral:rRNA from 1 species